rnacentral:ncRNA from 1 species
UGUUUUAUUACGCAACUCCUUGUCGUUUGCAUCAGAACACUUAUAAUUUUAUAUUUUAUUUAAACUUGAAACUCCUACCCACCUUAACUCCAUUAUGGAUAAGAUUUUGUUUUGAUAAAUUACAAAGUGUUAUACAGUAAUAUUAACUGACAACGUUUCGAGCACAAACUAUUGCCACUCGUAAUCAUAUGAUUAUGAAACGUUAUCAGUUAAUAUUACUGUAUAACACUGUGUGAUUUAUCAAAAUAAAAUCUUAUCCAUAAUAGAGUUAUGCUCUACUACAGUGCCCAAGUUUCAUGCCUAUAUCCUACUCACCUUUUAAGUAUGACUCUCUUAUGCUUCGUCAUCACAUUAGUGACGUGUAUGAAUGGAUUUCCACUAUCCUUAUCUACUAUCUAGAGUAACCGCAGCCUAAAAAGCGGGUGUGACAGAAUUAGUGGGGAAAAUAGACCGUGAUGAACUUGACUUUAGUUCAACUUUAUAGGGAAAUAUGAUAGAAGUAGAAUAGGUGAGAGUUUGAUGCUUCGGUGUUUGGUGUCGAUGAAAUACCACUACAGUCAUCGCUUCUUUGCUUAUUCAUAGAUACGGAAACGAAAUUGUAUUUUGAUGCUAAUGCAUCAUCGUAAUACCAGGCAGAUCAUAGUGCAGAUUAUGGUACUAGUGUCUUGAUGUGAUGAUGUACGACCUCUUCUGAAGACCAUGUCCGGCAGAGAGUUUGACUGCGGCAGUAUUUUCAUCAAAUGGUAAUGCAGGUGUUUUAUAUGGUGAGUUCACAUGGGACGGAAACCUGACAUUAGAGUAAAAGAGCAAAAUCGUACUUGGUUUUAAUUUUU